UACAGAGGCCACGAGCGUUAGGCGGAAUCACUGGGCUUAAAGCGUGUGUAGGUGGAUGAGUAAGUACCUUGCGAAAUCCCACGGCUCAACCGUGGAACUGCUUGGUAUACUGCUUGUCUUGAGGCACUCAGGGGCGAGCGGAACAGAUGGUGGAGCGGUGAAAUGCGUAGAUAUCAUCUGGAACGCCAAUGGUGAAGACAGCUCGCUGGGGGUGUACUGACACUGAGACACGAAAGCCAGGGGAGCAAACGGG
rnacentral:rRNA from 1 species